GAUUUCUGGUAAGACGCAUCGGACUCUCGCCUUCAAAAGCGGGUAAUGUUUGUUAUGUGUCUACCAUCCUUUUAGAGAAUAUAUUGUUCCCUUAACUGGGCGCAGUAUGUUAUCUAAAUCUUUUACUUUGAAAAAAUUAGAGUGUUUAAAGCAGGCUUGCGCUAUGAAUACAUUAGCAUGGAAUAAUAAUUUAGGACUUCGUUUCUAUUUAUUGGUUUCUCUUGUUAGAAGUGAAGUAAUGAUUGAUAGGGACAGUUGGGGGUGCUAGUAUUCAGCGGCCAGAGGUGAAAUUCUUGGAUUCGCUGAAGACUAACUAAUGCGAAAGCAUU
rnacentral:rRNA from 1 species